UCUUUUCUUCUUCUCCUUCCCGUUUGUCCUCCUUCACAUUCUUUUAAAAUUUUCCCGUAUUUUGAUUUAUAUAAUAUUUUAUCUUAUUUCCCCAUUUCAUUAUCUCCCUUAUGAGCUUCUCCCAAUUCUUUUGUCCCUCCGCCAUUUCAGUAAGCCUUAGCUACCUCCGCUUUCAAUUUUCUUCCAUUUGCCAUCUUCAUCUCCUAUUUUCGAGAAAAAACAAAGAUUCAGCUCCGAUUCAUUUUCAAUUUUGUUUACCCCCAAUACCUUCACCAUAACCUUUUUUCUACCAUCGACGAUGAUGAAAUCGAUAGUACCACCCGCCCCACUUCCAACCGCUUCCGAAUCCAUCAUCAUUCGUCUUGUCUAUAGAUGGUAAACAUCGAAGAAAGGGCAUUCGAUGAAAUUUUGCAUACAGGCUCCUGCUUUGGGGAUAAUUUGAACAUUUUCAGAUUUUUUUUUAAAGAAGAUUCAACACUUAUUUUGCAAUAAGUGUGAGGAGGAGGAUGCCUUAAGAAUUUCCGAGCCUCGAAGAUGUCGAAAAAGACCCCUCCCAAGCAUAAUCAAUGUUGUCCGAGGAUGAACAAUUCUACAAGUGUCAAGAGAGAAGUUUAAUUGGCACCAUAAAAAAUGUGAUACCAUUGACAUAGUGAAGGUUUUUGUCACUGCCGUUCCGGAGGCCGCGCUCAUUCUACGAACGGCAUCUUGAGCGCAAACACUCCGUGAGGUUGUCCACGUCGAGCCAAUAAAAUGGACAUUCAAGGAUGUACAUAACCAUUUUUGAAAGACUUUCUAUUAUAUUAUAACUUAACCAUCUCGCAAGUUAAUUCUUUUAUAAUUCUGCACUAUUUCGGCAACUUGUUCGUCUCCCAUAAUUGCCGUGUAUGUUCACUUUGAUGUUGCAUGGGACGAUAGCGUUGCACAUAAUUCUAUGAUGAUUUGCUUUCCUUUGUGGAUUGAUAUUGAUUGAGUCAUUUCCGUUGGUUGA